GUUGUAUGGUUAAGUGACUAAGCGUACACGGUGGAUGCCUAGGCAAUCAGAGGCGAAGAAGGACGUGCUAAUCUGCGAAAAGCUUGGAUGAGUUGAUAAGAAGCGUUUAAUCCAAGAUAUCCGAAUGGGGAAACCCAGUAGAUGAAGAAUCUACUAUCAAUAGAUGAAUACAUAGUCUGUUGAGGCAAACCGGGAGAACUGAAACAUCUAAGUACCCCGAGGAAAAGAAAUCAACCGAGAUUUUGUCAGUAGCGGCGAGCGAAAGCGAAAGAGCCAGCAAGUGAUAGCAGCAAAGACAGAAGAAUUGGC
rnacentral:rRNA from 1 species